UCUUCAGGUUUGCCACUUCACA
rnacentral:miRNA from 1 species